GUAGUCCACGCCUUAAACGAUGGAUGUUCGGUGUCGGUCCGUAAGGAUCGGUGCCUGAGCUAACGCGUUAAACAUCCCACCUGGGGAGUACGAUCGCAAGGUUGAAACUCAAAGGAAUUGACGGGGGCCCGCACAAGCAGUGGAGCAUGUGGUUCAAUUCGAUGCAACGCGAAGAACCUUACCUGGGUUUGAAAAGCUCUGUAAACCGGUGAAAGCCGGCUAGUGUAGCAAUACACGCGGAGUACAGGUGCUGCAUGGCUGUCGUCAGCUCGUGCCGUGAGGUGUUAGGUUAAGUCCUGCAACGAGCGCAACCCUUACACUUAGUUGCCAUCAGGUCAAGCUGGGCACUCUAAGUGGACUGCCUACGCAAGUAGUGA
rnacentral:rRNA from 1 species